GAGCGGAUGACAGGAGCUUGCUCCUUGAUUCAGCGCCGGACGGGUGAGUAAUACCUAGGAAUCUGCCUGGUAGUGGGGGACAACGUUUCGAAAGGAACGCUAAUACCGCAUACGUCCUACGGGAGAAAGCAGGGGACCUUCGGGCCUUGCGCUAUCAGAUGAGCCUAGGUCGGAUUAGCUAGUUGGUGGGGUAAUGGCUCACCAAGGCGACGAUCCGUAACUGGUCUGAGAGGAUGAUCAGUCACACUGGAACUGAGACACGGUCCAGACUCCUACGGGAGGCAGCAGUGGGGAAUAUUGGACAAUGGGCGAAAGCCUGAUCCAGCCAUGCCGCGUGUGUGAAGAAGGUCUUCGGAUUGUAAAGCACUUUAAGUUGGGAGGAAGGGCAGUAAGUUAAUACCUUGCUGUUUUGACGUUACCGACAGAAUAAGCACCGGCUAACUCUGUG
rnacentral:rRNA from 1 species